UACGAAGGGGGCUAGCGUUGCUCGGAAUCACUGGGCGUAAAGAGCUCGUAGGCGGUUUGUCGCGUCGACUGUGAAAACCUACAGCUUAACUGUGGGCUUGCAGUCGAUACGGGCAGACUUGAGUUCGGUAGGGGAGACUGGAAUUCCUGGUGUAGCGGUGAAAUGCGCAGAUAUCAAGAGGAACACCGGUGGCGAAGGCGGGUCUCUGGGCCGAUACUGACGCUGAGGAGCGAAAGCGUGGGGAGCGAACAGG
rnacentral:rRNA from 1 species